GACGAACGCUGGCGGCGUGCUUAACACAUGCAAGUCGAACGGAAAGGCCCUGCUUUUGUGGGGUGCUCGAGUGGCGAACGGGUGAGUAACACGUGAGUAACCUGCCCUUGACUUUGGGAUAACUUCAGGAAACUGGGGCUAAUACCGGAUAGGAGCUCCUGCUGCAUGGGGGGGGUUGGAAAGUUUCGGCGGUUGGGGAUGGACUCGCGGCUUAUCAGCUUGUUGGUGGGGUAGUGGCUUACCAAGGCUUUGACGGGUAGCCGGCCUGAGAGGGUUACCGGCCACAUUGGGACUGAGAUACGGCCCAGACUCCUACGGGAGGCAGCAGUGGGGAAUAUUGCACAAUGGGCGGAAGCCUGAUGCAGCAACGCCGCGUGCGGGAUGACGGCCUUCGGGUUGUAAACCGCUUUCGCCUGUGACGAAGCGUGAGUGACGGUAAUGGGUAAAGAAGCACCGGCUAACUACGUG
rnacentral:rRNA from 1 species